UGGGGAAUAUUGGACAAUGGGGGGAACCCUGAUCCAGCCAUGCCGCGUGUGUGAAGAAGGCCUUAUGGUUGUAAAGCACUUUAAGCGAGGAGGAGGCUCUCUUGGUUAAUACCCAAGAAGAGUGGACGUUACUCGCAGAAUAAGCACCGGCUAACUCUGUGCCAGCAGCCGCGGUAUUACAGAGGGUGCGAGCGUUAAUCGGAUUUACUGGGCGUAAAGCGUGCGUAGGCGGCUUUUUAAGUCGGAUGUGAAAUCCCCGAGCUUAACUUGGGAAUUGCAUUCGAUACUGGGAAGCUAGAGUAUGGGAGAGGAUGGUAGAAUUCCAGGUGUAGCGGUGAAAUGCGUAGAGAUCUGGAGGAAUACCGAUGGCGAAGGCAGCCAUCUGGCCUAAUACUGACGCUGAGGUACGAAAGCAUGGGGAGCAAACAGG
rnacentral:rRNA from 1 species